GUCUGCGCCCUGCAAGCAUCGCCCCGUGGCAGCGGAGCCUCGGGCCGUGAGUCAGAGGCGCUGUGGGAGCUCCGUGCAGCCUUAUCUCGCGUCCGUCGUGGCCCGGCUCCGUGUGCGGCUGUGCGCGGCGGGGAGGCGGUGGCCGCGAGCGGGGACCGUGAGGCUGCGGCCGCACCAUGCUGCGCUUCCUGUGGGACAGCGUCUCCCUGCAGAUGCUCUUCGUCUUCCUCUUGGUCUUCCUGCUGGUCGCUGACUACAUGAAGAGGAGAAAGCCCAAGGGCUUCCCCCCCGGUCCUUUUUCCUUCCCUUUCCUGGGAAGUGUGGAAUUUCUGAUGGUUAUCAAUGACCCCAUUGGCACAGUGCAAAAGCUUACUGAAAAAUAUGGAGAUGUCUUCAGCAUGCAAAUAGGCAGCCAGUCAUUUGUGAUUGUAAAUGGGCUGCCACUGGUCAAGGAAACCCUUGUGAGCCAGGGAGAGAACUUCAUGGAUCGCCCAGAAAUUCCUGUCAACACAGAUGUCUUUGGCAAUUUGGGGCUGGUCUGCUCCAAUGGGCACCUGUGGAAGCAGCAGAGAAGGUUCACCUUGACCACCCUCCGAAAUUUUGGCCUGGGGAAGAGGAGCCUGGAGGAGCGGAUCCAGGAGGAGUGCCGGUUCCUCACGGAUGCGUUCAGGGAUGAGCAGGGAAAUCCUUUCAACCCUCACCUUAAAAUCAACAAUGCUGUUUCAAACAUCAUCUGCUCCGUCACCUUUGGCAAUCGGUUUGAAUACCAUGAUGAGGACUUCCAAAACUUGCUGCAGCUGAUGGAUCAGACUGUUACCCUCCAAGGGAAGAUAAUGAGCCAGCUGUACAAUGCUUUCCCCUCCAUAAUGAAGUACCUCCCUGGAUCCCACCAAACUGUUUUUAAAAACUGGAAGUUGAUGAAAAAUUUUGUGUGCAAUGUGAUCAGCAAACAUAAGGAAGACCUGAACCCCUCAGAGAGCCGAGACUUCAUCAACAGCUACCUGCAGGAGAUGGCCAAGCCCAAUGGCAGUGACUUCUGUGAGGAUAACCUGGUGGCAUGUACUCUUGACCUACUGUUUGCUGGGACUGAGACCACCUCCACAACCAUCCGCUGGGCCCUGCUGUAUAUGGCCAUGUAUCCAGAAAUUCAAGCCCGUGUGCAAGCCGAGAUUGAUGCUGUUAUUGGGCAGUGCCGACAGCCAGCCCUCGAGGACAGGAACAACAUGCCCUACACCAAUGCUGUCAUCCACGAAGUGCAGAGGAAAAGCAACAUCAUCCCUUUGAAUGUCCCAAGACAGACAGUGAAGGACACAGUCCUGGCUGGCUUCCGGGUGCCCAAGGGCACUGUUAUGAUUGCAAAUAUAUCCUCUGUGAUGUUUGACAAGAAGGAAUGGGAAACCCCUCACAGUUUUAACCCUGGGCAUUUCCUGAAGGACGGUCAGUUCUGGAAAAGGGAGGCUUUUGUGCCAUUUUCUAUAGGUAAGAUUAGAUCAGUUUACUGCAGUUUGAUGCUUCUGUGCUGAAGCAGUGGGAUGGGGCUUUCAGCUGCACAAUGGAGAACCUGAGCUAAGCACUGAUGGAAACAGGAGUUGCUGGUUCCACCAUAGGAGGGCUGCUUGCCCACUGCCUGUAGCAGUCAACACUAGACACUUCCUUAGCAGUAGCCAUGCAGGCUCCUCAAAGAACCACCUCCUCCGCCUCUUAGGCCUUCUUCACAAACACGAGAGAAUACAAAAGUGUCCCAGAAAUGCAUUCAGCAAUGCAAGAGCAGUGCUCUGUGCUCCCAGUCCCACACAGCUGAGGUCAAUGGGCUCUGCCACCACAACCACAGAGUGCCAGCAUCUUCCUUGUGGAGAGUGAUUUUAGCAUCUCCAAUUUCCUGCCCUAGCAUGGCACACUUUCUCUGGUGAUUUGGUUCCAUUCCUUGGAGUCCAGCCAGGCACAUAGGGAUUACAUGUGAAGCACUGCUCAUCCCAGCAGGGUAGGACAAAAUGUGUGUGUAUACACUGACAUGCACGUGCCCUCACUGCAGCACCCAGCUGGGGGCAGAUGGUGCUACAGCUCCAUGAGGAGCUCAGCUGGGAUGGCAGUCCUGGUGCUGGAAAUGUAAGGUGGGCACGGGGAUGCGGGCAGGGCGAUGUUCCUGCAGGAGCUGUGUGCCGAGGCUUUUCCAGCAGAGAAAGCAGCUGGGCAGCCAGCAGGGCUGAAUGGGCGCUGGGCGGCUGUCUCCGCAGGGAAGCGCGCCUGCCUGGGUGAGCUGCUGGCCCGCGCCGAGCUCUUCCUCUUCUUCACGGCUCUGCUCCAGAAAUUCACCUUCCAGGCUCCCCCGGACACCAUCCUCGACCUCAAAUU